rnacentral:rRNA from 1 species
CAAGUCGAACGGCAGCGUGGGGCAACCUGGCGGCGAGUGGCGAACGGGUGAGUAAUAUAUCGGAACAUACCCAGUAAUGGGGGAUAACUAUCCGAAAGGAUAGCUAAUACCGCAUACGCCCUGAGGGGGAAAGAGGGGGAUCGCAAGACCUCUUGUUAUUGGAGUGGCCGAUAUCUGAUUAGCUAGUUGGUAGGGUAAAAGCCUACCAAGGCUUCGAUCAGUAGCUGGUUUGAGAGAACGACCAGCCACACUGGAACUGGGACACGGUCCAGACUCCUACGGGAGGCAGCAGUGGGGAAUUUUGGACAAUGGGGGCAACCCUGAUCCAGCAAUGCCGCGUGAGUGAAGAAGGCCCUCGGGUUGUAAAGCUCUUUUGUCAGGGAAGAAAAGGUCAUUCCUAAUACGGGUGACUGAUGACGGUACCUGAAGAAUAAGCACCGGCUAACUACGUGCCAGCAGCCGCGGU